rnacentral:rRNA from 1 species
AACGAACGCUGGCGGCAUGCCUAACACAUGCAAGUCGAACGAGAUCUUCGGGUCUAGUGGCGCACGGGUGCGUAGCGCGUGGGAAUCUGCCCUUUGGUUCGGAAUAACAGUUGGAAACGACUGCCAAUACCGGAUGAUGACGAAAGUCCAAAGAUUUAUCGCCAGAGGAUGAGCCCGCGUAGGAUUAGCUAGUUGGUGUGGUAAAGGCGCACCAAGGCGACGAUCCUUAGCUGGUCUGAGAGGAUGAUCAGCCAAACUGGGACUGAGACACGGCCCAGACUCCUACGGGAGGCAGCAGUGGGGAAUAUUGGACAAUGGGCGAAAGCCUGAUCCAGCAAUGCCGCGUGAGUGAUGAAGGCCUUAGGGUUGUAAAGCUCUUUUACCCGGGAUGAUAAUGACAGUACCGGGAGAAUAAGCUCCGGCUAACUCCGUGCCAGCAGCCGCCGUAA